UGGGGGAUAUUGCACAAUGGGCGAAAGCCUGAUGCAGCGACGCCGCGUGGGGGAUGAAGGCUUUCGGGUUGUAAACCUCUUUCGCUAUCGAACAAGGCCCGCUUAGGGUGGGUUGAGGGUAGGUGGAGAAGAAGCGCCGGCUAACUACGUGCCAGCAGCCGCGGUAAUACGUAGGGCGCGAGCGUUGUCCGGAAUUAUUGGGCGUAAAGGGCUUGUAGGCGGCUUGUUGCGCCUGCUGUGAAAACGCGGGGCUUAACUUCGCGCGUGCAGUGGGUACGGGCAGGCUUGAGUGUGGUAGGGGUGACUGGAAUUCCAGGUGUAGCGGUGGAAUGCGCAGAUAUCUGGAGGAACACCGAUGGCGAAGGCAGGUCACUAGGCCAUUACUGACGCUGAGGAGCGAAAGCAUGGGUAGCGAACAGG
rnacentral:rRNA from 2 species